rnacentral:rRNA from 1 species
GACGAACGCUGGCGGCGUGCUUAACACAUGCAAGUCGAACGGAAAGGCCCUGCUUUUGUGGGGUGCUCGAGUGGCGAACGGGUGAGUAACACGUGAGUAACCUGCCCUUGACUUUGGGAUAACUUCAGGAAACUGGGGCUAAUACCGGAUAGGAGCUCCUGCUGCAUGGUGGGGGUUGGAAAGUUUCGGCGGUUGGGGAUGGACUCGCGGCCUCUCAGCUUGUUGGUGGGGUAGUGGCUUACCAAGGCUUUGACGGGUAGCCGGCCUGAGAGGGUGACCGGCCACAUUGGGACUGAGAUACGGCCCAGACUCCUACGGGAGGCAGCAGUGGGGAAUAUUGCACAAUGGGCGGAAGCCUGAUGCAGCAACGCCGCGUGCGGGAUGACGGCCUUCGGGUUGUAAACCGCUUUCGCCUGUGACGAAGCGUGAGUGACGGUAAUGGGUAAAGAAGCACCGGCUAACUACGUG